UUUUCCAGCUUAUUCUGAAAUGAAACUUCAAAAGACAGUUCUGAAUCUUUUACAGGAUUACCUACAGGACACUUAGAAUUAGAAAAGGCACUCGACACCUCGUAAGACAACUGAGGCUUUUCUGUGCCAGGAAGGGUCGUUUGAUCACUGGUUUGCAAAUGGCUGAUCCAUUUUUCUCCUGAAGAAAAAGGAAAAGUAAAGAGGAAGAAAAGUAAAACACCAAAUGUUAAAAAGCCCCUUAUACAGUUCGAAGAUUUCUUCAAAUAAACCCCACAUAUAAGUAGGAAUUUAUAUAGUACAUUUCCACUGGAUUUCUAAAGACAUCUUAAGUGAAAUAUUUGGGGCUUAUUAUUUUAUUUUAAUAAUGUGAAUACUGCAUGUGGUGUCAGCUUUUGAUGCUAGAAUCUUCCUUGUGCAUUUUUGAAGCAGCUGCAGUAUCUUGGCACAA